rnacentral:rRNA from 1 species
UACAGGGUCUCAAGCGUUGUUCGGAUUCAUUGGGCGUAAAGGGUGCGUAGGCGGCGCGGUAAGUCGGGUGUGAAAUCUCGGAGCUUAACUCCGAAACUGCAUUCGAUACUGCCGUGCUUGAGGACUGGAGAGGAGACUGGAAUUUACGGUGUAGCGGUGAAAUGCGUAGAUAUCGUAAGGAAGACCAGUGGCGAAGGCGGGUCUCUGGACAGUUCCUGACGCUGAGGCACGAAGGCCAGGGGAGCAAACGGG